UACGGAGGGUGCAAGCGUUAUCCGGAUUCACUGGGUUAAGGGUGCGUAGGUGGCAGGUAAGUCCGUGGUGAAAUCCCUGAGCCUUAACUCGGGAACUGCCAUGGAUACUAUUGUCUUGAAUAUUGUGGAGGUAAGCGGAAUAUGUCAUGUAGCGGUGAAAUGCUUAGAUAUGACAUAGAACACCAAUUGCGAAGGCAGCUUACUACACAGUUAUUGACACUGAGGCACGAAAGCGUGGGGAUCAAACAGG
rnacentral:rRNA from 1 species